UACGAGAGGCCCAAACGUUAUUCGGAAUUACUGGGCUUAAAGGGUGCGUAGGCGGUGUAGCAAGUCGGGGGUGAAAUCCCCCAGCUUAACUGAGGAAUUGCUUUCGAUACUGCUGCGCUUGAGUGAGACAGAGGUAAGCGGAACUUAGGGUGGAGCGGUGAAAUGCGUUGAUAUCCUAAGGAACACCGGUGGCGAAGGCGGCUUACUGGGUCUCAACUGACGCUGAGGCACGAAAGCUAGGGUAGCAAACGGG
rnacentral:rRNA from 1 species